rnacentral:tRNA from 1 species
AGUAAGGUCAGCUAAAUAAGCUAUCGGGCCCAUACCCCGAAAUGCCACAACCGGCCCCUACUA